rnacentral:tRNA from 1 species
GGUGGCUCAAGUGGUAGAGCGUUUGCCUUGCAUGCAUGAGGCCCUGGGUUCGAUUCCUCAGCACCA